rnacentral:rRNA from 1 species
CAGCCGCCGCGGGAAUACGUAGGUCCCGAGCGUUGUCCGGAUUUAUUGGGCGUAAAGCGAGCGCAGGCGGUUAGAUAAGUCUGAAGUUAAAGGCUGUGGCUUAACCAAAGUACGCUUUGGAAACUGUUUAACUUGAGUGCAAGAGGGGAGAGUGGAAUUCCAUGUGUAGCGGUGAAAUGCGUAGAUAUAUGGAGGAACACCGGUGGCGAAAGCGGCUCUCUGGCUUGUAACUGACGCUGAGGCUCGAAAGCGUGGGGAGCAAACAGGAUUAGAUACCCCAGUAGUCCCUGUCUCUUAUACA